ACAGUGAAGAAGAGGCACUUGGAGGGAUUCAUCAUUGUGGUCAGACGUGAUCGAAGGGGGGUUUAUACCCCUUUUCAGGAGGACUCCUGUCCUGGUGUGUGAAGGUUUACGGGGCAGAGAAUCUUGGUGCGGAAGGGUUGAGGAAUAGUGUUCCCUGCUCUGGCUUGGUCUGUGAAAAAUGAAACAGCGCCAGAUGCAAGCACUGCCAAGCACAAAUUUAUACACUUCAAAGAAUUUUUACUUUUUCAAUCAGAAAAAGACAUGAGACUCCAGACUCUAGACUCUCUAUUUCAGUCCCAAAUUGCCAAAUUGCUGAUGUUGCAGUCUUUCUUAGAAUUUGUUUGGAGAAAGCAGCAAAGGGACGAAAAGGAAAAACUGUGUUUUACCCAAAUGAGCUCCCUGAAUUUGUAGAGUGUGUUAUUAAGCAAAGCUGUGUUGGGGCAAGAAUCAUUUUACAUUCCUAAAGGGUGACGCUCUGAGACUCUUCAGCCUCGGGGCUGGUAAAACUCUGGAGAGAGGACAGAGGAGGAGAAUUCAAAAAUAACGGAGAAUCUGGAGCUUAAUGUGGGAAGGAGGAAAGGCAAGCACUUUCUAAACGCUCGCCUAGCCUUCUUAGCCCACAUGACACUGGCGGAGUCCCAAGCGCCUGGCUGGCUGCAGAAGGGCGGCCCCUCACGGGGGCGGAGCUUGUGGCGCUGAGGCCCCUCCCACCAGUCAGGUGCCCCAGUGCCUGCAGGAAACAAGGCCAGAAAGUCUCCCUGGGGCUCCCCCUGCGUGCCUUGUUUAAUGCCCUGAUUCAUAUGGACUGAACCCUUCCUGACACACGGGCUACCUAAAUAUGAAAUUCCCUCCUUCCACGAGCAUCGAAUGAGCACCUACAGUAUACCAGCCAGAGGGUCCCCACGGCCAACGCACUAUGCAUUACGUCAUCGUAAGUCAACCGGACGCUGCCUGGGCUGCAGCCCGCAGAGGGCACGGCAGGGGCUCCAGGUGGAACAGUGCGCGGAUAGAGGGGGGAGCCUUGCUGCAGAACAUCUAAGAUGUUAGCCUGGGGAGGCGGGGAGGCAGAUGGAAGGUGAGGAGCCACGGAUGAUCUGGACAUCCUGAAAGGCCUUGAGGCAUCAGGUGGGUCCUCGUCCAAGGAGCUGGAAAUUCGUCUCUGUCUUCCCUGUCGUCUGUCCUAAGUGGUCUUGGUAUUUUCAGUCCCGUCAUGCCUUGACCCCCAGAAUUCUCUUUCCGACGUUGGGAGGAAGGAUCCUUGAAGUGAUCCAGAGCAAAUGCUUCCUUUACUUGAGAAAACCAAGGACCAGAGAUGUGAGGAGACCUGCCCGGAGCCACAGACCUGCCGUGGGAGAGAUGGGACCAGACCCUGUUCCCAGAAUGUCCAGGUUCACCUUGCCUCUCCUGAGUGACCACUGUGACCACGCUGUCUCCUUCUGGUACUUCAUAAUAUAUUCCCGGGCUCCUGGCACACCUUCCAGGCCCCACGUGGAGACAGCACCCACACCAGGCUACGUACCCUUACUGAAUGACCAGGCCCUGAUCAGCCACGGUUGCCUGGAGCCGUGCAGCCUGCGGGGAACAAGGGACUACAGCCAACAAUCUGGAGUUCUCACCUUGGCCUUGCUGCUAAACCAACCCAAGCCACAGGAUGUCCCCAGUGACUUGAAUUCCUCCAUCCAUAGACUGAAGCUGGGUCUGACCUAUAUCCCCAGAGUCUGGGAGAGGCUAUCAUUGACCACUUAACAUGCACUGCUGUGCUAGGUACGGCACUGGGUACGUCUCUACCACACGCUGCACUGGUUUUACUACAGUGCCCAUCACUAGCUGUCACCUUCCUGUUCAUUUGUCACUUGGCUUAUUCCGCUUUGUCUAUUGCCCAUCUCCUCCUACUAAAGUGCAGAUUCCUUGGACACAGAAGAAGCGUCUCCCCUGUUUGCUGUUGAAUCCCUGUGAAAGACUGUCCACCCUUCAGUGAGCUAGCUGUCUGCUGAAUGAGAUGGGAUAGUGCAUAUAAAAACAUCGCGUGCAAUAACA